AGUCGUGGACAGGGCCGUGGCACGGCCAUAUGGGAAACUCGUCCCCGCUAAAUACGGAAAUAUCGCGUUGACUAACUGCCAGAGGGCAGCACAAAACGCUUUUCGAUCGUCACGACCCUGGUGGCGGCCACUGAAGCUCACGGUACAACAAGCUGCCGGCUGCCAUAUUGAAUCGAGAAACGAAGCGCGGGAAGCACGUUUCUUUGACAGUUUGGCCGCUUUCCCACGGCCGCAGGCCGUGACAGGCCGAAUUCUUGUCGCGCACGAGUGGCCAAAGAGCCAAGGAGUAUUCUUAACAGCCACAUCAUCGGCCCAGGGGCCUACUUCAGCCCCGGCGGGCACGCAAUGUGCGAGGUCGUCGGCGCAAGAUUACUGAAAACAAACUUUUGAGACUGCGCCAGUUUCCCGUCGUGCGCUUCCAAUUUAAUUUUUCCAACCUGGGAGAGAAUACGAGAAAAACGCUGGUGCAAAUAAAAAUAUGUAGUCAACCAAAUUGUGGUAAACUGAUCUAUUUUUCUUCUUCUAAUUUUCAUUUUUUGCAGGAAUCGGAGUUUCUUUUUAUUAACUGAGAGUGCAGUUCAUUAUCUUGUGUUUGGAUACCUCAUUUUAUCACUUUUUGAUAUUGGUAGGAUCAUGAAUUUAAGAUGUGAACUUUUAUGAUGUUCUUGUCAACACCAUGAAUAAAUUACCUCUUCAGGAUUACA